AGAGUUUGAUCAUGGCUCAGGAUGAACGCUAGCGGCAGGCCUAAUACAUGCAAGUCGAACGGUCUCUUCGGAGAUAGUGGCGAACGGGUGCGUAACGCGUAAGUAACCUGCCCUGAACUGGGGGAUAGCCCGGCGAAAGCUGGGGUAAACCCGCAUGGUCUCUUGGGGUGGCAUCACCUUUAGAGUAAACAUUUAUGGGUUUGGGAGGGACUUGCGUCCGAUUAGCUAGAUGGCGGGGUAGUGGCCCACCAUGGCUUUGAUCGGUAGGGGCUCUGAGAGGAGCGGCCCCCACACUGGCACUGAGAUACGGGCCAGACUCCUACGGGAGGCAGCAGUAGGGAAUAUUGGGCAAUGGCGGAAACGCUGACCCAGCCAUGCCGCGUGCAGGAAGAAGGCGCUCAGCGUUGUAAACUGCUUUUAUCGACGAAGAGCGGCCUUCCUGCGGGAAGGUGUGACGGUAGUCGAGGAAUAAGCACCGGCUAACUCCGUGCCAGCAGCCGCGGUAAUACGGAGGGUGCAAGCGUUGUCCGGAUUUAUUGGGUUUAAAGGGUGCGUAGGCGGGCUGGUAAGUCUGGUUUGAAAGUCAGCGGCUCAACCGUUGAGGGUGGCUGGAUACUGCCGGUCUUGAAAUUGUUGGAGGCCACCGGAACGGAUCGUGUAGCGGUGAAAUGCAUAGAUAUGAUCCAGAACACCAAUUGCGUAGGCAGGUGGCUACGACUGAUUUGACGCUGAGGCACGAGAGCAUGGGGAGCAAACAGGAUUAGAUACCCCCGUAGUCC
rnacentral:rRNA from 1 species